rnacentral:rRNA from 1 species
UAUGAACGCUGGCGGCGUGCUUAACACAUGCAAGUCGAACGGGAAACCUUUUAUUGAAGCUUCGGCAGAUUUCGCUGGUUUCUAGUGGCGGACGGGUGAGUAACGCGUGGGUAACCUGCCUUAUACAGGGGGAUAACAACCAGAAAUGGUUGCUAAUACCGCAUAAGCGCACAGGACCGCAUGGUCCGGUGUGAAAAACUCCGGUGGGAUAAGAUGGACCCGCGUUGGAUUAGCUAGUUGGCAGGGUAACGGCCUACCAAGGCGACGAUCCAUAGCCGGCCUGAGAGGGUGAACGGCCACAGUGGGACUGAGACACGGCACAGACUCCUACGGGAGGCAGCAGUGGGGAAUAUUGCACAAUGGGGGAAACCCUGAUGCAGCGACGCCGCGUGAAGGAAGAAGUAUCUCGGUAUGUAAACUUCUAUCAGCAGGGAAGAUAGUGACGGUACCUGACUAAGAAGCCCCGGCUAACUACGUG